rnacentral:rRNA from 1 species
UUAAGCGACUAAGCGUACACGGUGGAUGCCCUGGCAGUCAGAGGCGAUGAAGGACGUGCUAAUCUGCGAAAAGCGUCGGUAAGGUGAUAUGAACCGUUAUAACCGGCGAUGUCCGAAUGGGGAAACCCAGUGUGAUUCGUCACACUAUCGUUAACUGAAUACAUAGGUUAACGAGGCGAACCGGGGGAACUGAAACAUCUAAGUACCCCGAGGAAAAGAAAUCAACCGAGAUUCCCCCAGUAGCGGCGAGCGAACGGGGAGCAGCCCAGAGUCUGAAUCAGCUUGUGUGUUAGUGGAACGGUCUGGAAAGUCCGACGGUACAGGGUGAUAGUCCCGUACACCAAAAUGCACAGGCUGUGAACUCGAAGAGUAGGGCGGGACACGUGGUAUCCUGUCUGAAUAUGGGGGGACCAUCCUCCAAGGCUAAAUACUCCUGACUGACCGAUAGUGAACCAGUACCGUGAGGGAAAGGCGAAAAGAACCCCGGCGAGGGGAGUGAAAAAGAACCUGAAACCGUGUACGUACAAGCAGUGGGAGCACCUUCGGGUGUGACUGCGUACCUUUUGUAUAAUGGGUCAGCGACUUAUAUUCUGUAGCAAGGUUAACCGUAUAGGGGAGCCGCAGGGAAACCGAGUCUUAACUGGGCGUUAAGUUGCAGGGUAUAGACCCGAAACCCGGUGAUCUAGCCAUGGGCAGGUUGAAGGUUGGGUAACACUAACUGGAGGACCGAACCGACUAAUGUUGAAAAAUUAGCGGAUGACUUGUGGCUGGGGGUGAAAGGCCAAUCAAACCGGGAGAUAGCUGGUUCUCCCCGAAAGCUAUUUAGGUAGCGCCUCGUGAACUCAUCUUCGGGGGUAGAGCACUGUUUCGGCUAGGGGGUCAUCCCGACUUACCAACCCGAUGCAAACUACGAAUACCGAAGAAUGUUAUCACGGGAGACACACGGCGGGUGCUAACGUCCGUCGUGAAGAGGGAAACAACCCAGACCGCCAGCUAAGGUCCCAAAGUCAUGGUUAAGUGGGAAACGAUGUGGGAAGGCACAGACAGCCAGGAUGUUGGCUUAGAAGCAGCCAUCAUUUAAAGAAAGCGUAAUAGCUCACUGGUCGAGUCGGCCUGCGCGGAAGAUGUAACGGGGCUAAACCAUGCACCGAAGCUGCGGCAGCGACACUAUGUGUUGUUGGGUAGGGGAGCGUUCUGUAAGCCUGCGAAGGUGUGCUGUGAGGCAUGCUGGAGGUAUCAGAAGUGCGAAUGCUGACAUAAGUAACGAUAAAGCGGGUGAAAAGCCCGCUCGCCGGAAGACCAAGGGUUCCUGUCCAACGUUAAUCGGGGCAGGGUGAGUCGACCCCUAAGGCGAGGCCGAAAGGCGUAGUCGAUGGGAAACAGGUUAAUAUUCCUGUACUUGGUGUUACUGCGAAGGGGGGACGGAGAAGGCUAUGUUAGCCGGGCGACGGUUGUCCCGGUUUAAGCAUGUAGGCUGGUUGUCCAGGCAAAUCCGGAUAAUCAAGGCUGAGGUGUGAUGACGAGGCACUACGGUGCUGAAGUAACAAAUGCCCUGCUUCCAGGAAAAGCCUCUAAGCAUCAGGUAACAUUAAAUCGUACCCCAAACCGACACAGGUGGUCAGGUAGAGAAUACCAAGGCGCUUGAGAGAACUCGGGUGAAGGAACUAGGCAAAAUGGUGCCGUAACUUCGGGAGAAGGCACGCUGGUGUGUAGGUGAAGUCCCUGCGGAUGGAGCUGAGACCAGUCGAAGAUACCAGCUGGCUGCAACUGUUUAUUAAAAACACAGCACUGUGCAAACACGAAAGUGGACGUAUACGGUGUGACGCCUGCCCGGUGCCGGAAGGUUAAUUGAUGGGGUUAUCCGUAAGGAGAAGCUCUUGAUCGAAGCCCCGGUAAACGGCGGCCGUAACUAUAACGGUCCUAAGGUAGCGAAAUUCCUUGUCGGGUAAGUUCCGACCUGCACGAAUGGCGUAAUGAUGGCCAGGCUGUCUCCACCCGAGACUCAGUGAAAUUGAACUCGCUGUGAAGAUGCAGUGUACCCGCGGCAAGACGGAAAGACCCCGUGAACCUUUACUAUAGCUUGACACUGAACAUUGAGCCUUGAUGUGUAGGAUAGGUGGGAGGCUUUGAAGCGUGGACGCCAGUCUGCGUGGAGCCAACCUUGAAAUACCACCCUUUAAUGUUUGAUGUUCUAACGUUGGCCCCUGACCGGGGUUGCGGACAGUGUCUGGUGGGUAGUUUGACUGGGGCGGUCUCCUCCCAAAGCGUAACGGAGGAGCACGAAGGUUAGCUAAUCCUGGUCGGACAUCAGGAGGUUAGUGCAAUGGCAUAAGCUAGCUUGACUGCGAGCGUGACGGCGCGAGCAGGUGCGAAAGCAGGUCAUAGUGAUCCGGUGGUUCUGAAUGGAAGGGCCAUCGCUCAACGGAUAAAAGGUACUCCGGGGAUAACAGGCUGAUACCGCCCAAGAGUUCAUAUCGACGGCGGUGUUUGGCACCUCGAUGUCGGCUCAUCACAUCCUGGGGCUGAAGUAGGUCCCAAGGGUAUGGCUGUUCGCCAUUUAAAGUGGUACGCGAGCUGGGUUUAGAACGUCGUGAGACAGUUCGGUCCCUAUCUGCCGUGGGCGCUGGAGAAUUGAGGGGGGCUGCUCCUAGUACGAGAGGACCGGAGUGGACGCAUCACUGGUGUUCGGGUUGUCAUGCCAAUGGCACUGCCCGGUAGCUAAAUGCGGAAGAGAUAAGUGCUGAAAGCAUCUAAGCACGAAACUUGCCCCGAGAUGAGUUCUCCCUGAGACUUUAAGUCUCCUGAAGGAACGUUAAAGACGAUGACGUUGAUAGGCCGGGUGUGUAAGCGCAGCGAUGCGUUGAGCUAACCGGUACUAAUGAACCGUGAGGCUUAACCUU